rnacentral:rRNA from 1 species
UACGGAGGGUGCAAGCGUUGCUCGGAAUUAUUGGGCGUAAAGGGUAGGUAGGUGGUCUCGUUUGUCUGGGGUGAAAUCCUUGAGCUUAACUCAAGAAGUGCCUCAGAAACGGCGAGACUAGAGUUCUGGAGAGGGUCGUGGAAUUCCCGGUGUAGCGGUGAAAUGCGCAGAUAUCAGGAGGAACACCAGUGGCGAAGGCGCCGCUCUGGGCCGACACUGACGCUGAGGAGCGAAAGCGUGGGUAGCAAACAGG